UCGAGCUUGCUGAACAGUGUAAUAUCUCUGAAGGCUCUGUACAUACAAUUUUGAUAGAAUAUAUAGACAUGCAUCGAGUUUCAGGUACACUUGCCCCUUGAUUGUUGUCCGUUGAACAAAAAUCCAAUCAAAUGUCAAUUUCCCUAUAGCUGCUUGAACGUUCUAACAAUGAUCCUACAUUUUUGGAUAGGAUAAUUUUCGGUUAAAACACUUGAGUGUACGGCUACGAUACGGAAACGAAACUCCAAUAAUCCUUGUGGAUUGAAAAAUGUCGUGCAAGACCGAAAAAUGAGAGACAAUUUCGGUCAAGCAUAAAAAUCGCAAAACACCCAUGAGGUUGCCGCACUUGAAGCCACAUACCAACGAAGCUAAUUAAGAUUUUAAAAUCUGUGAACGAAGCGGUCUUUAGUAUAUUUUCAGCUAUCAGGAAAUAUCAAGAAAACCUUAUUCGGACGCACAGUAGGCUAGUUAUGACCAAAAUCCGGUUUCUAAUCUAACAGGCCUUGUAGGUAACAAUUUACGAAAAACGAGUUUGAAAUUGCGUUUUUUGAGUUUUCAUUUAGACGCGCUUCGCCGUGAAAGUCAAGAUGGCCCCGAGUGUAUCCAUCCCGCUGCGGGUACACUUUCGACCACCAGACCCCUGCUCUGCCAUGAUUUCUGGUCCGAGCAGUCGUUUUAAUGCACUCGAUCAAAUUUUGGUUAUCAAUUUUAUGAGAAAGCUUUACCAAACAUUCUCAUAAAUAUGUCGACGUGAUCAUUGACUCUCCAAUUUUUUCUGGGUAAAUGGAAGAGGAAAUUUUCAGAAAAACUUGUCUUUCUUGAAACAAAGCGUUGAGCCUUUACAAGCAUCAAAUAUGCUUGACCACUGUGAGCGUGUUACAACGUUGGAAAAUAUCAAAAAUUCUUUGGAAUCUCAUAAAGAUGGUGCCUCAUCAAUCUCACCACUAUCCUUUUUCUUGGUUGAAAUUUGGAAAAUGUUUGGAGUCACCGACAAGACACGCUAUGCUAAGAUUCCUGUUGCUUUUGAGGAUAUCCAAAUCUAUUCGGAACUGAACAUUAAUACGAGUGACUCGAGUAAUGUAUACUUAUCAGUCUUGCCGGGGAAAGGGAUUUUUCCGUCAUGCAGGAGACGAAACGGACGGAGUCUUCGAUCGACAGUGAAUUGA
rnacentral:lncRNA from 1 species